GAUGAAGAACGUAGCGAAAUGCGAUAAGUAGUGUGAAUUGCAGAAUUCAGUGAAUCAUCGAAUCUUUGAACGCACAUUGCGCCCCAUGGUAUUCCGUGGGGCAUGUCUGUUCGAGCGUCAUUUACCCCCUCAAGCUCCGCUUGGUGUUGGGCGUCUGUCCCGCUUCGCGCGCGGACUCGCCCCAAAGGUAUUGGCAGCGGUCGUGCCAGCUUCUCGCGCAGCACAUUGCGCUUCUCGAGGCACCGGUGGGCCCGCGUCCAUCAAGCUCACCCCCCCAGUUUGACCUCGGAUCAGGUAGGGAUACCCGCUGAACUUAAGCAUAUCAAUAAGCGGAGGA
rnacentral:misc_RNA from 1 species